rnacentral:lncRNA from 1 species
ACGGCCCUCGCUGUCCUCUUUCAAUCCCACCACACGGAUAUUACUGCGUCUGCUCUGGUUCUCCAUCUGGUCUACUUUGUUUUUGAGGUAGGCAUUAUCCUUCUGCAGUUCUAUCAGAACCUGGUCAUGUCGAGCGACGGUGUCCUCAACUGUGCUAAUGCGCAUCUCGGCCUCAGUCGUUCUCAGAAGGAGAUCAUUCAUGGAGGAUUUCAGGUCGUCGAUGGAAGAAUGGAGUUCAGCCGAUUUCUUGUCAAUUUUCAUAGAAAGACCUUUGUUACCAUCCUGAAUUUCCCGGAGGAGAGUAGCCAGGAUGUCUUGCGAGGCUGCCGAGAGCAAUAGUCUGGAACCGUCGUCUGAGAUAUGAGGGCUAAUGCUAAACUUGCUAGCUGUGGCAUUAUCGUUGUCUUGGGAUUCAACGACGUUUUGGUCGUCCUUCUUGCCUCUCGGUCGGAGGUCCAUGGCUCUUUGGGAAGGUAAGUAUUUGACAAUUUAUCAGCCGAUGUUAGAAUAUUGUUUCAACGUUGUUAUUUAGGUAAUAAUAGGAUACAUUUCAAGAGCUCGGUUUGUCAACGUCUGUUCAGCUCCGCGGCAUCACGUGUCUCCCCCAAUUGAGAUGGUUUGGAUGAGUUGGACCGCAGAGUGAAGGAAAAGCAGCUAACAAGUUCUCAGCCUAUGUGGGAACUCCUUCAAGACUGUUGGAAAAGCAUUCUAGGUGAAGUUGGUUGAGAGAAAGCCAAGCGUGUGCAAAGCUGUCAUCAAGGCAAAGGGUGGGGCUCAAAACAGAUGGGCCUCUGCCCCUCCUUCCCUGAAUGAUGCAUCGCCACUGCAUAUUCUUGACCUUCAACAGAUGCACAGCCUUUGGCAGGGGAAAAAAUGCUCUGCUGUGAGAGUAAAAGUCUCCCACUCAAUGGUGUUCUGUUUCAAAGAUGUAUGAACGCCACCACUGGGAAGACGGACAAACAAACUAAAGCCAAAGACAAAUAUGCUGUUAAAAUUAACAAGAAUGCAGUAAGUUCAAAGACAGAUCACUGUAAUUUAUACCAUACACGUGUACAACAAUUUAAUUUUAAUAAUAUUGAAGAACUAACUAACAAUGGAAUGUUCCUCAAUAAAUUGGAAGAUUACGGGACUUUAAACAGGUGUCCCAACUCUGUGGCCACAAAGGAUCCCAUGGGGUGGUGCUUAUAUUUGUCCUGUUUUCAACUGCAUGUGUAUAUCAUCAAACUAUUCCUAUCAUGUAAUACUGUGUAUAAAAGUACCAUUGUAUGUAAAGUGUAUGAAUAAUGCAUAUGUAACAAAAUAUAUGUAAAAAAAAUAAUUGUAAGUUACUUUUGUCCUCUGAAGAGGGGGGUGGAUGGGCC